UACGUAGGCAGCAAGCGUUGUUCGGAAUUACUGGGCGUAAAGCGCACGUAGGCGGCUUUGCAAGUUAGAGGUGAAAGCCCAGGGCUCAACCCUGGAAUUGCCUUUAAAACUGCAUCGCUAGAAUUGUGGAGAGGUAAGUGGAAUUCCGAGUGUAGAGGUGAAAUUCGUAGAUAUUCGGAAGAACACCAGUGGCGAAGGCGACUUACUGGACACAUAUUGACGCUGAGGUGCGAAAGCGUGGGGAGCAAACAGG
rnacentral:rRNA from 1 species